rnacentral:rRNA from 1 species
GGGUGAGUAACGCGUAAGGAACUUGCCUCUUGGUCUGGGACAACUGUUGGAAACGACAGCUAAUACCGGAUAUUAUGAGAUUCUCGCAUGGGAAACUUAUGAAAGCUAUAUGCGCCAAGAGAGAGCCUUGCGUUCCAUUAGCUAGUUGGUGGGGUAACGGCCCACCAAGGCGACGAUGGAUAGCCGGCCUGAGAGGGUGAACGGCCACAAGGGGACUGAGACACGGCCCUUACUCCUACGGGAGGCAGCAGUGGGGAAUAUUGGACAAUGGGCCACAAGCCUGAUCCAGCAAUUCUGUGUGCACGAUGAAGGUCUUCGGAUUGUAAAGUGCUUUCAGUUGGGAAGAAGAAAGUGACGGUACCAACAGAAGAAGCGACGGCUAAAUACGUGCCAGCAGCCGCGGUAAUACGUAUGUCGCAAGCGUUAUCCGGAUUUAUUGGGCGUAAAGCGCGUCUAGGCGGAAAAAUAAGUCUGAUGUUAAAAUGCGGGGCUCAACUCCGUAUUGCGUUGGAAACUGUUUUUCUAGAGUACUGGAGAGGUGGGCGGAACUACAAGUGUAGAGGUGAAAUUCGUAGAUAUUUGUAGGAAUGCCGAUGGAGAAGUCAGCUCACUGGACAGAUACUGACGCUAAAGCGCGAAAGCGUGGGGA